rnacentral:rRNA from 1 species
GAGUUUGCUCAUGGCUCAGGAUGAACGCUAGCGGCAGGCCUAAUACAUGCAAGUCGAACGGUAACAUGAGAGCUUGCUCUUGAUGACGAGUGGCGCACGGGUGCGUAACACGUAUGUAACCUACCUAUUACAGGGGGAUAGCCCCGAGAAAUCGGGAUUAAUACCCCAUAGUAUAUUAAAAUGGCAUCUUAUUAAUAUUAAAGUUUCGGCGGUAAUAGAUGGACAUGCGUCCCAUUAGCUAGUAGGUGAGGUAACGGCUCACCUAGGCGACGAUGGGUAGGGGGUCUGAGAGGAUGAUCCCCCACACUGGUACUGAGAUACGGACCAGACUCCUACGGGAGGCAGCAGUAGGGAAUAUUGGUCAAUGGGCGCAAGCCUGAACCAGCCAUGCCGCGUGCAGGAAGACGGCCUUCUGGGUUGUAAACUGCUUUUAUCAGGGAAGAAAAAGCUCUUGCGAGAGAAAUUGCCUGUACCUGAUGAAUAAGCACCGGCUAACUCCGUGCCAGCAGCCGCGGUAAUACGGAGGGUGCAAGCGUUGUCCGGAUUUAUUGGGUUUAAAGGGUGCGUAGGCGGAUAAUUAAGUCAGUGGUGAAAGACUGCAGCUCAACUGUAGAGGUGCCAUUGAUACUGAUUAUCUUGAGUACAGUUGAGGUAGGCGGAAUUUAUGGUGUAGCGGUGAAAUGCAUAGAUACCAUAAAGAACACCGAUAGCGAAGGCAGCUUACUGGACUGUAACUGACGCUGAGGCACGAAAGCGUGGGGAGCGAACGGGAUUAGAUACCCCGGUAGUCCACGCCGUAAACGAUGAUUACUCGAUGUAUGCGAUAUAUUGUAUGCG